CUCAUAACCUCCCUCCCUCCCGCCCGCGGCAAUUUCCCUCCCAAAAUGGUACGAGACACAGGAACUCCUCACCAGAUCUCCCUCUUCCGCUCUCAAAUCACAACCAGAAGAUUCAACGACGAAUCACUGCGAAUUCUCGAAUCACUUCUGGUCUUCAAAGACGUGAAGUCGCAGAUCGAGACUCGAUCGGACUUGAAACAGUUCUUGAGAUUCGAAUCUCUCUCUAUUUUCCACGAAAUCAAAUAUAAAACAGUUUAUCAGAAGCUUUUCAUUCUCCAAUUCUUCGUUCGCGCUUUCGCUCUCAUAGGCGACACCGAGAGUUGUUUGGCGCUGAAAUACGAGGCAUUGCUUUAUCGUGAUGUCAAGUCUAGCGGUGACCAAUCACUACAUGUUUCGUAUUUGGAAUGGCUAAAUUUUGCUCACCAUUCGCUCGAUCAGGGCUUCUAUUCUAUUGCUACACAGGCAAGUGAAAAAGCCCUAGCAUGCUUUCAAAAGAAGGACGUCGCAGAUGCCAAAACAGGCGACUUCUUCGAAAAUGCGCGGGUUAUUGAUGAUAUAAAGAGGCUUAAGGAACGUGCCAUGAGGUCUGCAGCUUCAGGCUCUGUCCAGGCACAGGCGGCAGAGUAUUUGAAAAGGAAAGUUGUCGAGAAGAGCAGAACAUGUUCUUCAUUUCGUACAGAAACAAAGAGUGCUGCUAGCACUCUGUUUAGAAAUGGAAUCAAGAAGCGGCAUGCGCGUGAAUUGCGUAAACACCAAAGUUUGCAGCAGAAUAUUGAAUUUUAACUUCGUUGCCAAUUUUAUUUGCCCUCACCGAAUUCAUUCACAUGACUGGAAAGUCGUAUGAAGCCUUCCCUUGUCAUUUACAAUCACUUACCCCCUCAAUUGUAAGGAUACUGAAGACAAAGAGAACGCUGUGCUAUUCCAUUCAAUCAAAAGAACAUCAAGAGGCUGAUACUACUGUGCUGGAUCUGAAUAAAGGACAGGCUGGUAGGAUAGUGGUCUGCAUGACAUGCUCUGCUGGCUUGGCUUGGAUUAGCCAUAGCAAGAUUGUAUGCGCCAACCAAUAAAAACAAUUAGGGCGGCAAGAGCAUUUAUGUUCCUGACAAUGCAUUAUCAUUGUAUUUUACGGUAGAAUAACAAGACAAUAAUGAAAAUGAGC